rnacentral:rRNA from 1 species
UUGAACGCUGGCGGCAUGCUUUACACAUGCAAGUCGAACGGCAGCGCGGGCUUCGGCCUGGCGGCGAGUGGCGAACGGGUGAGUAAUGCAUCGGAACGUGCCCAGUAGUGGGGGAUAGCCCGGCGAAAGCCGGAUUAAUACCGCAUACGACCUGAGGGUGAAAGCGGGGGACCGAAAGGCCUCGCGCUAUUGGAGCGGCCGAUGUCGGAUUAGCUAGUUGGUGGGGUAAAGGCUUACCAAGGCGACGAUCCGUAGCUGGUCUGAGAGGACGACCAGCCACACUGGGACUGAGACACGGCCCAGACUCCUACGGGAGGCAGCAGUGGGGAAUUUUGGACAAUGGGGGCAACCCUGAUCCAGCCAUGCCGCGUGCGGGAAGAAGGCCUUCGGGUUGUGAACCGCUUUUGUUCGGGAAGAAAUCCUCUGGGCUAAUACCCCGGGGGGAUGACGGUACCGGAAGAAUAAGCACCGGCUAACUACGUG